rnacentral:rRNA from 1 species
GACGAGCGCUGGCGGCGUGCUUAACACAUGCAAGUCGAACGGAAAGGCCCUGCUUUUGUGGGGUGCUCGAGUGGCGAACGGGUGAGUACCACGUGAGUAACCUGCCCUUGACUUUGGGAUAACUUCAGGAAACUGGGGCUAAUACCGGAUAGGAGCUCCUGCUGCAUGGUGGGGGUUGGAAAGUUUCGGCGGUUGGGGAUGGACUCGCGGCUUAUCAGCUUGUUGGUGGGGUAGUGGCUUACCAAGGCUUUGACGGGUAGCCGGCCUGAGAGGGUGACCGGCCACAUUGGGACUGAGAUACGGCCCAGACUCCUACGGGAGGCAGCAGUGGGGAAUAUUGCACAAUGGGCGGAAGCCUGAUGCAGCAACGCCGCGUGCGGGAUGACGGCCUUCGGGUUGUAAACCGCUUUCGCCUGUGACGAAGCGUGAGUGACGGUAAUGGGUAAAGAAGCACCGGCUAACUACGUG